rnacentral:rRNA from 1 species
CAGCAGCCACGGGAAUACGUAGGGUGCAAGCGUUAAUCGGAAUUACUGGGCGUAAAGCGUGCGCAGGCGGUUAUAUAAGACAGAUGUGAAAUCCCCGGGCUCAACCUGGGAACUGCAUUUGUGACUGUAUAGCUAGAGUACGGCAGAGGGGGAUGGAAUUCCGCGUGUAGCAGUGAAAUGCGUAGAUAUGCGGAGGAACACCGAUGGCGAAGGCAAUCCCCUGGGCCUGUACUGACGCUCAUGCACGAAAGCGUGGGGAGCAAACAGGAUUAGAUACCCCGGUAGUCCCUGUCUCUUUACA